rnacentral:tRNA from 2 species
GGACCCUUAGCUCAGUUGGUCAGAGCGCUCGGCUCAUAACCGAUCGGUCGCAGGUUCGAAUCCUGCAGGGUCCACCA